rnacentral:lncRNA from 1 species
AUCAGCGCCGCUUCGUGGAGCCUGGCGACUGCUUUGGGAAGUCCUGCUGGCAGGCACUCUGCCCCUGGGGGUGUGCAAAGAGUUGUCCAGUUACCUUGAUCUUCUCACAGCCUCCUCCCCAGGGCACCAGGAGAGACCAGGAUUGGAGGACGGUGGCUUCCUCCAGGCAGUAAAUCUACAGCCCAGGCUCCCUGCAUCUUAUGGCUCCAAUCACUUUGGAUCUCAUCGUCGCCUGCACAUUGCCAUACACAGGGAAGGAGAAGAGAUGGAGAAGGCAAAGACUUUCUGAAAGCCGUGGCUAAAAGCUGGCAUGUGUCACAUCAGCUCACAUUCCAUUGUAGAGACGGGGUUUCACCGUGUUAGCCAGGAUGGUCUUGAUAUCCUGACCUCGUGAUCCGCCCGCCUUGGCUUCCCAAAGUGCUGGGAUUACAGGCGUGAGCCACCGCUCCCGGCCUGGCAGGCAUUCUUGAGGCAAACGGGAAAUGGGGUAAGUUACACAAUCGAUACAGCUCCGUCAUCGUGGUUUAAUUACUUUUCCACGUACCAUGUUUCCUGACAGGUAGAACGAUCAGCCUGGGCCUCCGUUUUUCAUUCUACAAAGAAUGAAGUGCAUGAACUGUCCUCUAUAGAAUUGUGGAAAAAGUUGUUUUUAUUGAGUUGUGGUUAUCUUUGUCUUCAUGGUCUAAUUACGGAAAUAAAUGCUUUUCCGAGUCUCCGGGGAUGGUCUGCCCUAGUCCAGCUCUCUGCAGUGUCUUUCUGGGUUUUUCCUCAGUGAACGGGAGGAACAUUGGCAGCACUUGUGGUCUGCACCAAGAACUGAAUCGAAUUUCCAUGUGUUAUUGAAUGUUCACAAAGACCUUGUACAGCGAGUGUUACUACCUCUGGUCAAUGAUUCAACUCAAGGCUCAGAAAAGUCAAGUGUCUUGUCCAGGGACACUUAGUCAGAAGUGAAUCCAAGGUUUAAGCUCAAGUCUGCCUAACUCUGAAUUUCACAGCCUUUUGCUACAUAUGGCGAAUAAUAUAUCCCUGAGCACUAAAGGCAGACUCCAAGGAUCUUGUCUCUGCAAUCAUCAUUCUGGCCAUAAUUUAUGAAAAGCAACCCAAAGUAUGUGAUGUAAUAAAAAGUACUAUCUAUGAGUUUACCCUUCCAAAAAUUGAACUGAAUUCUGAGCUCUAAAUUUGGAAUCAAAAGAACUUUUCUCUGCACUAAUCAUUUGGAACAUCACUUAAAGAAAACAACGAAAAACUGGUGUCCCCUGAGAGAAAGCAAUACAAAACAUUAUGCAUAAAGAAAUCCUUCCAAAAAAUAAACCAAA